UACGUAGGUGGCAAGCGUUGUCCGGAUUUACUGGGCGUAAAGAGCGCGCAGGCGGCUGGUCAAGUCCGAUGUGAAAUCUCCCGGCUUAACUGGGAAACUGCAUCGGAAACUGAUCGGCUUGAGGGUGGGAGAGGGUAGUGGAAUUCCCGGUGUAGUGGUGAAAUUCGUAGAUAAUUCGGAAGAACACCAGUGGCGAAGGCGACUCACUGGACACAUAUUGACGCUGAGGUGCGAAAGCGUGGGGAGCAAACAGG
rnacentral:rRNA from 1 species